UGGCGGCCAUAGCGCCGUGGAACCACCUGAUCCCAUGCCGAACUCAGAAGUGAAACGCGGUAGCGCCGAUGGUAGUGUGGCAUU
rnacentral:rRNA from 2 species